rnacentral:rRNA from 1 species
CGUGUAGGCGGUUUAUUAAGUCUGAUGUGAAAGCCCUGGGCUCAACCUGGGAAGUGCAUUGGAUACUGGUAGACUUGAGUACGGGAGAGGGCAGUGGAAUUCCCAGUGUAGGAGUGAAAUCCGUAGAUAUUGGGAGGAACACCGGUGGCGAAGGCGGCUGCCUGGACCGAUACUGACGCUGAGACGCGAAAGCGUGGGGAGCAAACAGGAUUAGAUACCCUGGUAGUCCGCGCCGUAAACGAUGAGUACUAGGUGUUGCGGGUAUUGACCCCUGCAGUGCCGUAGCUAACGCAUUAAGUACUCCGCCUGGGAAGUACGGUCGCAAGACUAAA